CUCUUUUCAGCUCUCCUCUGUGUUUUGCAUUUUGUUUCCUCUUCCCGUGUUUCGUUUUCUUUGCGUGUAUACCUGUGCGCAUCCUCCUCCUCUUCCUCCUCUCUCUCGGCCGAUUUCCACCCUCCCCUUACCCACCCGCCACGCCUCGCUGCCCGACGUCGUUUUCUCUAUUCGUUUUGUUUUAAUCUGUCUCCCCUCCCCUCCCCUCCCCCCAAUACGGGUCUCUGUGUGUGUGUGUGUGUGUAUAGGCGCGCGUGUCUUCCUCUAACAGUAGCUAUACAUACAUACGCACACACGCACACGCGUGCAUACAUACAUAUACAUAUAAGCAACGUUAACACACAAGCACGGUCAGCCAUGCCCGCCAAACAGAAGAAGGGACGCGGAAAGACGGUAAACCUUUUCGAGUUCAAUGAAGACUACAUCCCUGAGGAGGCCCUCGACUGGGCCGAGGAUGACUGGAUGACGGCGGAGCAGGUCGGCGUGGCGAAGCUGUCCGAGAAGAUUGCGAAGCAGCGGCAGGAGUACAGCCGCAUGGCGAACAAUACAUUAGACCAGCAGGAGAGCUUCCGCACGGCGGCCGUGUCGGAGCAGAAGAAGUGCUUCACCAUUGACGACCUGCAGCCGCCGUUUGUGGCCCACUUCGGUAACCUGCGCAAUGGCACGACCGAGGAGGACUUCCUCUCCCUCUUCAACCGCGACGCCAUCGCUACCCACCGCCUCAUCAACCAGGAUGGCAAAUCCUUCGCAUUCGUGGAGUUCGUCUCCGCGCAGGCGCUGACGGUAGCGCUGUCGCUAGACCAAACCUUCCAGCGCGGUCGCCGCAUGUACGUCGACCUCGCUACACAGAAGCAGGUGGAGCGGCUGCUCAACCGCAACACGAACGAGCGCCCGGGUAUGUCACGCGAUUCAGCUGGCCAGCAGCAGCCUGGCGGCCUCGCCGCUAUGGGGCUGUCCCGCGACGUCUUCGGCGGGCAGCAGCCCGAGGACCAGCCGGGCAUGCCAUCGAUGGGCAGCCGCUCGAACUUCGGCUCUCGCGUCGACCUCCACAACCUCGGCGACCUGUCGCGCGACAUGCUAGGUUCGGCGGUGCAGCAGGCAUCGCCCACGUCGUGCAGCCCGAUAUGCGGCGCCGGCUCCCCAAUGAGCUUCGGCAACUGGCGCAGCGACGCCCCGGAGCAGCAGCCGGAGUUUCCCAUCUCGCGCGAGAACUGCCGCAGCGAGGACAGCUUUGACCGCCGCGCCGGACACCUUCGCCGCAGCAGCGGCCCGGCCAGCCCGGCCCCCCCGGUUCUGCCGCCGGAGCCGAAGCCGAACCCGUUCAGCGGGGAGACAGGCAACUGGCGUGACGCACCGCGCGCCGAGGUGCCGAAGAUGGAGGAGCUGUCGGCGGUCACUGCCGAAGGUGACACUACAACGCCGAGCGAGCACAAGACGGAGGAACACAACGCCGGCGGCGCCAGCAACAGCGGUGCAGCCAGCAGCCCAAGUAGCAACGGUCGCGGUCGCGGCGCAGGCGGUAUUGGCCGUGGCGGUAGUCGCGGCGGCCGCGGUGGCGCAGGCUCCUGUGAGAGGAGCUCCUUCGGCGGCGAGAGGAGCGGAUUUGGUGGUGAGAGGAGCGGAUUUGGUGGCGAGAGGAGCGCGCCACCCAAGCCGUCCGGCCCCGUGAACACAGACAAGUGGGCUGACCUGCGCCGCAGCUGAGCAAGUAAGAAGCGGCAGUCCCCGCCCAUAUGCAUGUGCACAUGUGUUUCUCAUGUUUCCCUCCUCUUUCAACAUCUCUGCUCCUAAACUCGUAAGCGUAGCGUCGGGAUAUGCGAGGGGGUGGCGUGGAUCGAUGGGGUUCACGGUCGGUGUCUGCCGGUGCGUCUGUGCCUCUGUGUGUGUGUGUGUGUGUGUGUGUGUGUGUGUGUGUGUGUGUGUGUGUGUGUGUGUGUGUGUGUGUGUGUGUGUGUGUGUGUGUGUGUGUGUGUGUGUGUGUGUGUGUGUGUGUGUGUGUGUGUGAUUGUGCUUCCACCGGUGUCGACAUUGCUGAACGCAUUCGAUUUCUGUUCUUUCUCUCUUCCUUUCAGGCUGCGGAUAGUGUUGAGUGUGGGGGCGUGGCAUCGGUGUGUCUGUGUGUGUGCGUGUGCUUGCCACAUCUUCCCCAGUCUUUUUUUUUUUUCCUCUUUCUCUGUGUGCGUGUCUUCUAUGCCACCGUGAGCAUGUGCUGUGCUGGCAGUCCGUUGGCUUGUUCCCUCUCGGCGCGUGUGUGUCUCUCGCUUCUCCCUUCUCUCUUCCUGUUUCUCGGCCGCUGUGUGCCCUUGAUGAUGCGGAGCCACAUGCGGUCACGGCGCCAUCCCGGCUACAGUCACCCCUCCGCUUUACCCCCGUCACCACGGUCAGCAAUGGCACACGCCGCCACCUCCUCCAGCACUCGGGCGCAUCUCUCCAUCGUUAACUUUCUUGUUUUUCUCUUUGAGCAACUGUGUGAUUCGGAGCGAUUUAAAGAAACCUUUAGCGAGCAAGCAAGCAAUAUAUAAGCAACAGCAACUCCCCCCCCCUCCUCCUCCGCCUCCCUCUCAUCCGCCCCGCCUCCUCGGACACAAGAGGAAGCGACAGCGGACGCACACGCGCGUGCGUGAAAACGGAUGCGCGCGAAGGGAGACGGUCCACACAGAGCGAGAGAGAGAGGGAAGAGCUAGAAAGACAUAUGGGAUGCGGAGAGAAGGGGGAGAGGCCACAGACAUGCAUACUCACUGACAGAGAGGGGGAGGAUGGGACCCCAUUGCUUAACCCAAGUGUGUUUAUAAGAGAGAAGCCUAAUGGGUGCGUAGGUGUUUGUGUGUGUGUGUGCGCGCGCGUGUGUGGAAGAGGCUUUUUUUUCAUUCGCUCAGUGUGUUGUUGCACUCGGCUCCUCGUCGUGGCUGUGACGGUUGCCGCUGUGGCCGUUGUUUCACUUUUCCUUGCUCCAGCCUCAUUUUGCGUUUGUUUUCUGCGCUUGACGGUUGCUCAUCAAAGGAAGACGGAGUGCCAAACGCACCGCCAGGAGGAAUGUGUGUGCGCAUCGCGCGCCCUCGCUUGCAUCCCUCUCCCCCCCCCCUACUCUCUGCCCUCUCAUGCCGGAUGCCCAUCACACACACGGACAGAGAAACUGACGCCGCUGUCACCUUCCACCCUUUCCUCUUGUUCUUUCCUCCUCCUUUGCCUUGUUGGUCCUGCGGUGCGCGCGCGUGUUUCUGUUUUGGCGUGUGGAGCGUCUUCCUCGUUGGUGCUUGAUGUGGGUGGCCGUUGAGUCUGAAUUCGAGAGACUGAAGUCGGUGGGGGGAGGAGUGAGAAGGGGUGGAGACAGCGUGCAGCGGCACGCAUGUCUUGCGAGGGAUGCGCUGGAGAACGGUUUUACUUCCUCCGGCGUGUGCCCUCCACUCGCUUUCGGCUUCCCAUCGGCAUGAGUAAUGCGUAUGUGUGCUUGUGUGGGUGUGUGGUGUGCCGCAGCUUCUCGCUCCGUGUUUCUUUUUCCUUGUGUGUUUACUAACAUCGUAAGCGAAUCUCCCCUCCGCAUACAAGCAAUGUCCAGGCGCACCCGUUUGAAACCCAAACGCGGGAUAAGGCGCGCGCGCGUGGCCACCGGAUGCGUUUCCCAGCCCCGCUCUUUGCCGCCGGCGCGUCUCAUGCACAACGCCCCUUCCUCCCUGAUGCUGGUCUUCGCGUCCGCUGCGCCACGCCAGCGCCGCCUCAACACCACCGCC
rnacentral:misc_RNA from 1 species